rnacentral:rRNA from 1 species
UACGUAGGGUGCGAGCGUUGUCCGGAAUUAUUGGGCGUAAAGGGCUCGUAGGCGGUUUGUCGCGUCGGGAGUGAAAACCCAGGGCUUAACCCUGGGCUGGCUUCCGAUACGGGCAGACUAGAGGUAUGCAGGGGAGAACGGAAUUCCUGGUGUAGCGGUGAAAUGCGCAGAUAUCAGGAGGAACACCGGUGGCGAAGGCGGCAUCCUGGACCAAUAUUGACGCUGAGGAGCGAAAGCCAGGGGAGCAAACGGG